rnacentral:misc_RNA from 1 species
CGGUGCAGACGUCUCGUA